GACGAACGCUGGCGGCGUGCUUAACACAUGCAAGUCGAACGGAAAGGCCCUGCUUGCAGGGUACUCGAGUGGCGAACGGGUGAGUAACACGUGGGUGAUCUGCCCUGCACUUCGGGAUAAGCCUGGGAAACUGGGUCUAAUACCGGAUAGGAGCCAUUUUUAGUGUGAUGGUUGGAAAGUUUUUUCGGUGUAGGAUGAGCUCGCGGCCUAUCAGCUUGUUGGUGGGGUAAUGGCCUACCAAGGCGGCGACGGGUAGCCGGCCUGAGAGGGUGGACGGCCACAUUGGGACUGAGAUACGGCCCAGACUCCUACGGGAGGCAGAAGUGGGGAAUAUUGCACAAUGGGCGCAAGCCUGAUGCAGCGACGCCGCGUGGGGGAUGACGGCCUUCGGGUUGUAAACUCCGUUCGCUAGGGACGAAGCUUUUUGUGACGGUACCUAGAUAAGAAGCACCGGCUAACUACGUG
rnacentral:rRNA from 1 species